CCUACGGGGGGCUGCAGUGGGGAAUAUUGGACAAUGGGGGGAACCCUGAUCCAGCCAUGCCGCGUGUGUGAAGAAGGCCCUCGGGUUGUAAAGCACUUUCAGUGAGGAAGAACGCCUGGUGGUUAAUACCCAUCAGGAAAGACAUCACUCACAGAAGAAGCACCGGCUAACUCCGUGCCAGCAGCCGCGGUAAUACGGAGGGUGCGAGCGUUAAUCGGAAUUACUGGGCGUAAAGCGCGCGUAGGUGGCUUGAUAAGCCGGUUGUGAAAGCCCCGGGCUCAACCUGGGAACGGCAUCCGGAACUGUCAAGCUAGAGUGCAGGAGAGGAAGGUAGAAUUCCCGGUGUAGCGGUGAAAUGCGUAGAGAUCGGGAGGAAUACCAGUGGCGAAGGCGACCUUCUGGACUGACACUGACACUGAGGUGCGAAAGCGUGGGUAGCAAACAGGAUUAGAUACCCGGGUAGUC
rnacentral:rRNA from 1 species